rnacentral:rRNA from 1 species
UAAGCCGGCCAUAGCGAAAGGGAGCGACCCGGACCCAUUCCGAACCCGGAAGUCAAACCUAUCGUUGCUGCUGAAUACUGACCUGCGUGAGCGGUUGGGAAACAGCAGUGCUGGCGUUC